GACAGAGGGUGCAAACGUUGCUCGGAAUUACUGGGCGUAAAGCGCGUGUAGGCUGCUUCGCAAGUCGGAUGUGAAAGCCCUGGGCUCAACCCAGGAAGUGCAUUCGAAACUGCAGAGCUGGAGUCCUGGAGAGGAAGGCGGAAUUCUCGGUGUAGAGGUGAAAUUCGUAGAUAUCGAGAGGAACACCGGUGGCGAAGGCGGCCUUCUGGACAGUGACUGACGCUGAGACGCGAAAGCGUGGGGAGCAAACAGG
rnacentral:rRNA from 1 species